GUUGGGGGGCCUCCAGGAACAUGGUUGGAAACCACUGGCUUAGCCAGUCUUUGCUUUAGCAGGAUAGUCAAAUAGAAAGAUCCAAUGGGGAAUUUCAAACAGCAACUCAGGUAUAAGGAUUUGAGGACAGAGAAAAAAAGGGCAGGUAGGGGAAUUCGGGUAGGUAGACUGGAGAAGUGAACAAACACAAGGUUGGAGAACUGGAGAAACUGCAACAAGACCAGCCAAUUGUGAUGUGACUGGUGAAUGUUUAUAUAGCAUGGGGGAAUGAGGUGAUCAGAUGAAACAAGCUACUAUGCGUAGAGCACUCAGAUUUUUGCCGGAAGAAAUAGUUUCAAGUUACAGCUGUCUUGAUUUAUUUGUUUCAUACAAAUAUGCAGCUUUUAACUUCACAAGAUGUUAACUUAUGGUCUGAAAUGGUGUGGAAUACCUGUGGAUUAUUAUGAUGAUUUUAUCAGUUGUUUAGACUCUCAUUCUCACGACACCCACUCACUGCAGAGGAUCCACUGGUAAAAAAAUAAUGUAAUAAUACAGUUAGAAGAUUUUUCAAAAUCUGUUCUAAUGAAGAAACAAACUCGUCUACAUUUGACCUGGGGGUGAGUACAUCUUCCGCAAAAGCAAAUUUUUUAAAUGUACUGAAAUGCAGAAUGUAUGAGAUUGUUUAAAUGUUAUAAGAUGACUGACAGGCCAUUUCACACUGACUGAACUAACUGAUCAUGGAGAACAAUUUAAUGAUAAUGUAAUGCCAGGCAAGGAAAUUGUAUUACUUGUAAGACCAGAAAAGUGAUUUAAAAAAAGUCUUAAUUGGUCAGCUGGAGUUUGUUUCCUAAUGCCUUGUGAUGCUGUUGUGAUGAACAUUUGCAUUUUA